AACGAACGCUGGCGGCAUGCCUAACACAUGCAGGUCGAACGAGACCUUCGGGUCUAGUGGCGCACGGGUGCGUAACGCGUGGGAACCUGCCCUUAGGUUCGGAAUAACUCCCCGAAAGGGGUGCUAAUACCGGAUAAUGUCUUCGGACCAAAGAUUUAUCGCCUUUGGAUGGGCCCGCGUUGGAUUAGCUAGUUGGUAGGGUAAAAGCCUACCAAGGCGACGAUCCAUAGCUGGUCUGAGAGGAUGAUCAGCCACACUGGGACUGAGACACGGCCCAGACUCCUACGGGAGGCAGCAGUGGGGAAUAUUGGACAAUGGGCGAAAGCCUGAUUCAGCAAUGCCGCGUGAGUGAUGAAGGCCUUAGGGUUGUAAAGCUCUUUUACCCGGGAUGAUAAUGACAGUACCGGGAGAAUAAGCUCCGGCUAACUCCGUG
rnacentral:rRNA from 1 species